rnacentral:misc_RNA from 1 species
GAACGCACAUUGCGCCCUUUGGUAUUCCGAAGGGCAUGCCUGUUCGAGCGUCAUUAUCACCCCUCAAGCCUUCGGCUUGGUGUUGGACGGUUUGGUGGAGACCCCCCGCGGGCUUCCCACCCCUCCCAAAGACAAUGACGGCGGCCUCGUUGGACCCCCGGUACACUGAGUUCUUCACGGGACACGUACCGGACACACGGGAUUACGGGCCACGGUCUGCCUCCCCUCAGGGAGAAUCUUUCUCAAGGUUGACCUCGGAUCAGGUAGGGAUACCCGCUGAACUUAAG